UAAUUCUCGCCCCUCCUCUCCCCUGUGGAGUGGAUUGGGACGGAUCUGGCUCUCCCAGCUCAACCUCCUAACAGAGGGAAGGGCUGGGUCUGCUGAAGUACAGAGGUUAAUGCUUGGACCCGUCAAGGGCUGCAGCUGGUUAGGCAGUGAUGCUAUCGAUUAGCUGUUGGUCUGGGACUGCGCAUUCGACCCACCCCAGGAAACUUACUUUAUUU
rnacentral:misc_RNA from 1 species